rnacentral:lncRNA from 1 species
UUUUAUCAUAAGCUGUUGAUUAUAUUUAUGAUAAACUUCUUAGAUUAGGGCAAUGGUUUUAAGACUAUGAUGAGAUCAUACUAGUGAGACUUAAAAUCCUAAAAUUCUAAUCUUAAAUAUUUCCAGUCAUUGGUACAUUGAGUCGGGGAUCAAUGAUUACCGGAAAGACUGGCAUGUCUUAUGUAUGCUCGAUGCAGAGGAUGAUUGAUCUCACAAUCAUUUAUGUAGAGACACUAAUACAAAGAUGUGGGUGCUCAUUAGAAGAAUGAGUUCACUGAAUUGACCUACAAAGAGAAAUCUUAUGAAGUCUUACUUACAUGUCAAAAGAUGAAUCUCUUAGUGGGAGUUGUGCAACUGAUCUUAUGACCUGAGAUCAC